AAACCAUGUUGUGGGCAUGAACUGACAAGAUCCUUGAACUGCUCCCAACAUUAGAAGAAUGUUUCAUCUUCCUUUUGAGCGAAGUUCGGAUUGACUUUUUGAGGGU